CGCCGGGGUCUGCUGAGAGCCAUGUUGGAUGUGAAUGAGAAGGGAUGCUGCGCCCGUGACGCUCACGCACCGAGUUCAUCUGAACACCGAGAGUAAAUGCAAGCUUCCCGGGAUUACCGAGAGACCGGGGAGUACGGCGGAAGGAGACGGGCGCGGGCGGCGGUGCUGGCAACCUAGCCGGCCAUAGGAGAGGGAGAGAAAGAAAUAGAAAAGCUCUCUAUCAAAGAGGGGAGAGUGAGUGUGUGUAAGAGAGAAAGAGAGAGGGGGAGAGAGGGGGAGAGAAAGGAUCUCACCAGACUAAUGGCUGCACUGCUGCUGGGCUCCAGCUCGCUCGCGACACCGCUGCUGUUCUACCUACCCCUCUGCUCUUUGUUUGCCGUCGUCCCGGGGAGGGAAGCGGGCCCUCGUGCCCCCCAAUCCCCCGGUCAUGUCAGCAGAGCCAGCCCUCCCCGGGAAACGGGGGACCUGAAUUUGGGCGGUCGGGAGAUCCGCCAUGGAUGGAGGUUGCCUUCAUCCAAAUGCCAGAUUAGCGGCCUGUGCUCCCUGUCUCGAGCUCAUGAGAUCUGCUCAGGCUCCUCAUCGCUGGGAAUCUGGAAUGCUACCACAUACACUUCAGAACCAAGUCGUGUGACCGGCGCCGUUUAUCUCCACUCAGGUAGGAGAUGCUGCCACGACAGCAGCAACUGGGGCGUUGUUUCCCCCUUUUUCUUCUCCCCGGUGCCAGAAGGAAAGCAAAGGUGUGUACAAAGGACUCGUGCGCGAUUGCGGUGGACACCUGGUCUAAUGAAAGACACAGGAAGGGUCUCGGUGCCGGGGGCAGAAGACAGCAAGGUGUGUAUGUUGUGGCUGGAUUACCGACAAGGUGCUAGAAAGCGAAACGGGCUUCGAUACCACCUCCACUUGGCUAGUGCACACAGGGCGAUUGCCGUCCAGGGACCCACUCGCCCGUUGUCAAAGGCCCAUUCAAAUCCUAAUAAGAGUUACAAUGUGUUCAAGAGCUAUACAUUGGACAAAGGACCCGAUGGCUUUUUGCUUUUCUGCCACCACUGUGUUAUCGAUCACAGCACAGAGGGACGGACUCGCAUUGCCCAUGUGGCCGUGGGGAAUAUGUGGGGCAGCGCAGGGACCGAAUUCAACCUAAAACACCUCUCGGCGCAGGUUACCGGCAACAGUUCCGUAUCACCCUGGAUUAGUUUCGACACUGUCUCGCGCACAGGUUGGUCACAGCAGUUACCAAACGAAUUCGGGCACCGUUCCCACACCGGUGUCCAGGACCGAGAGGGGCUAUACUUUCGAAAUGAAAUGCCGGAGAAGAAAAGUGUCCAUGCAUAUCACACCGCAAGCACAGUGAGUCUGAGUGUGACGCUUACUAAGGGAAGCAGAAAGGAAGAUUCUCAACCGUUCGCGCGUCUUCUGGCAGACAGUUUUCGGGAAAAGUCUUCCUGGAACGGUCUUCGGGAGUCCCGUCUAGCGAUUCCCGCGGGAUCUAUGUCACCAAGUGAUUCUGACAACCGAAUCCCUCCCGCCGUGAGAUUAAGCGCCAGCCACUGCCGCGCUCGGAAAUCAUCUGAUGAGCGCGUCGCCAAUUACCAUAUCACAGCGGAAACGAUUCCUGUUAAAUCAAUCUCAUCGCUGCUUUUUGCGCACCACAAUAACUCACGCACUACAAAUCACGCAGAGUCCCAUUUCCCGAUCUCCCCCGUGCUGAACUUCACAACACAGGGACACGAGUCACACGCCACUCGUGCCUCGCAGGGUGACUAUGCUUGGAGAGCUGAGGAGGUGUCAGCACCACACAGUCAGUGGACAGCUCCCGAAGCCAACAUGCUUCCGAAACCACCGGCUAUUCUCCUUUCAGAUUCUGCUCAUCAUGUUACAAGUGUGUAUUUAAAAAAUACUAACAGCAACAAUAACAAUAAUCACAACAACAACGAGAAUUAUGGAGAUGAAAAUACAAUAAUUCAUAUGAGUGGAGAGAGUUCGGAUGUCGACUUGACACAGGUGACGUCUCAGCCCGGUGUGUGCGCACCGUCCCCUCGGGGACCUGUGCCGUUAGUGGAUGGCCAGGCUGCAACGUCUACUGACAGUAGCGCCUGUUCUGACAGACUGAAUGCCGACGGGGGAGCCACACACUCGCAAUUAAAUUCCGGUAAACGGGUGUCAUUAUCCGAGGUAGGUGUCAGUCAGCCAAGGGUGCAGCUGGGGGUCGAGGCCAAGGAGCACGAGAGGGUGAGAGAGAGACAGGAAGAGGAGGAGGGUUGGGGUGAGGGUGAUAGACAGGCCACAGAGGAAAUGAGGGGGGAACAGAAGGAGUGGAAUAUUGAGGUGAACACAAAGAGAGACAGGGAACAGACAGACAUGCUUUCACAAAGAAACGAAGGGAUCGGUCAAGCACAGAGAGGGAGAGAGAGGGAGGAAAAGAGGGGGGGGACAGAGAGGGAGAACAAAGAAUGGCAAAGAGCUGAGGAAACACAAGAGGAGUGGGAUGAAAUGAAAGACAGUGGAGAAGGAGAGUGGGAGGAAGAAAGACAGCUGGAGGAUGAUGGAAGUCAAACAGAGACAGAGAUCCAAGAAGGAGAACAGGAGGAAGACACAGAGGAUGAUGAAGAGCUGCCACAGGUGGGGCGCUCACGCCGUGCUGCCAAUCGCCAUCCCCUCUUCCCCCAAUACAACUACCAGGUGCAGGUACCAGAGAACCAGCCACCUGGCACCUCAGUGAUGGCCAUGAACGCAGCCGAUCCAGAUGCGGGAGAGGCAGGCAGGCUGACCUACAGCAUGGCUCCCCUCAUGAACAGCCGCUCCAUGGACUACUUCCACAUCGACCCCAUCACUGGCCUGCUCGCCACCUCACACAUCUUGGACCGCGAGCACAUGGACCUGCACUACUUUCGUGUCACGGCUACAGACCAUGGCUCCCCGCACCUCUCUGGCACCACUAUGGUGGCCAUCACAGUGGCAGACCGUAACGACCACCCCCCUGUGUUUGAGCAGACGGAGUACCGGGAGACCAUCCGGGAGAAUGUGGAGGAGGGUUACCCAAUCCUGCAGCUGCGUGCCACCGACCUAGACUCCCCCUCCAAUGCCAACAUCCGCUAUCGUUUUGUGGGGGAGGGGGCUUCCCUGGCGCGCACUGCCUUCGAGGUAGACCCUCGCUCCGGCCUCAUCACCACACGAGGCGUGGUGGACCGCGAGGCUAACGAGCGCUACACGCUAACGGUGGAGGCCAGCGACCAGGGUCGUGAGCCGGGCCCUCGCUCCGCCACUGUCAAUGUUCACAUUACCGUGCUGGACGAGAAUGACAACGUGCCGCAGUUCAGCCAGAAGCGCUACGUGGUGGCGGUGCGGGAGGAUGUGCGGCCGCACUCAGAGAUCCUGCGAGUGAGCGCCUCCGACCACGACAAGGACGCUAAUGCCGCCGUGCACUACAACAUCAUCAGUGGGAACAGCCGUGGUCAGUUUGCCAUCGACAGCGUGACCGGGGAGGUGCAAGUGGUGGCCGCUCUGGACUACGAGGCUGAGAGAGAGUACAUACUGAGAGUGCGUGCUCAGGACAACGGCCGACCACCGCUCUCCAACAACACCGGCAUUGUCAGUGUGCAGGUGACUGAUGUCAACGACAACCCACCCAUCUUUGUGUCUACGCCGUUCCAGGCCACGGUGCUGGAGAGUGCGCCCAUCGGCCACUCCAUUCUUCACAUCCAGGCCAUCGACACCGACUCUGGGGACAAUGCGCGGCUGGAGUACCGACUCACGGGCACCGGCACAGAUACACCCUUCAUCAUCAACCCUGCCACCGGCUGGGUGACAGUCAGCUCAGUGCUGGACCGGGAGUCCGUGGAGCACUACUUUUUUGGUGUGGAUGCGCGCGACUAUGGGGCCCCUCCCUUGUCCGCCACGGCCAGCGUCACCAUCACAGUCAUGGAUGUCAAUGACAACCGUCCAGAGUUCCUGCUGCGUGAGUACCACGUGCGUCUGAAUGAGGACGCCACUGUGGGGACCAGCGUGGUGACUGUGACGGCAGUGGACCGGGACGUCAACAGUGCCGUGACCUACCAGAUCACUGGCGGUAACACACGCAACCGCUUUGCCAUCAGCACUGCCGGCGGGUCGGGCUUGGUCACUCUGGCGCUGCCGCUUGACUACAAGCAAGAGCGUCGCUACGUGCUAACGGUCACCGCCUCCGACCGCACCCUACAUGACACCUGCCAGGUGCACGUGAACAUAACCGAUGCCAACACACACCGGCCGGUGUUCCAGAGCGCCCACUACUCGGUCAGCAUCAACGAGGACCGGCCAGUAGGCAGCACCGUAGAGGUCAUCAGCGCCACGGACGAGGACGUAGGGGAGAAUGCACGCAUAAUCUACUUCCUGGAGGAUAAUAUCCCACAGUUCCGCAUUGACCCUUCCAGUGGGGCCAUCACCCUGCAGGCGGAGCUGGACUACGAAGACCAGAUGACCUACACCCUCGCCAUCACGGCCCGAGAUAAUGGCAUUCCACAGAAGUCUGACACCACUUAUGUGGAGGUGAACGUAAACGAUGUGAAUGAUAACGCCCCGCAGUUCGUGAGCCCUCGCUACCAGGGUGGGGUGAGUGAGGAUGCGCCGAGCUUCACCAGCGUCCUGCAGAUCUCUGCCACGGACCGGGACGCGCAUGCCAACGGCCGGGUGCAGUACACUUUCCACAACGGCGAGGACGGUGAUGGGGAUUUCACCAUUGAGCCCACGUCGGGCAUCGUGCGGACGAUGAGGCGGCUGGACCGCGAGAGCGUGCCCUUCUAUGAGCUGACGGCUUAUGCUGUCGACCGGGGCGUGCCCGCACAGCGCACGCCUGUGCACAUCCAGGUCAGCGUGACCGACGUCAAUGACAAUGCCCCCGUCUUCCCGGCUGAUGACUUCGAGGUGCUGGUGAAGGAGAACAGUGCCGUGGGCAGCGUGGUGGCCCAGAUAACCGCCACUGACCCCGACGAGGGCCCCAAUGCCCAGAUCAUGUACCAGAUCGUGGAGGGCAACAUCCCUGAGAUCUUCCAAAUGGACAUCUUCUCAGGGGAGCUCACCUCACUCAUCGACCUGGACUACGAGGUGCGCAACGAGUAUGUGAUCGUGGUGCAGGCCACCUCGGCUCCUCUGGUGAGCCGCGCCACCAUACGCAUCCGGCUGGUGGACCAGAACGACAACCGGCCCACACUGCAGGACUUCCAGAUCAUCUUCAACAACUUUGUGUCAAACCGCUCCAACACCUUCCCCAGCGGCGUGAUCGGACACGUCCCCGCCCACGACCCCGAUGUCUCGGACCGCCUCUACUACACCUUCGACCGUGGCAACGAUCUGCACCUGCUGCUGCUCAACCACACCAGCGGAGAGCUGCGCCUGAGCCGCAAGCUGGACAACAACCGGCCGCUGGUCGCCCCCAUGCAGAUCACCGUCACUGAUGGAGUGCACAGUGUUUCGGCCCAGUGUGUGUUGCGUGUCCUGAUCAUCACAGAGGACAUGUUGAGCAGCAGUGUGACGGUGCGUCUCCAGAACAUGUCCCAGGAGCACUUCCUGUCCCCGCAGAUGACUCAGUUUGUGGAGGGCGUGUCCACAGUGCUGGCCCUCACACCGGAGGACGUGUUUGUGUUCAACGUGCAGCCGGAUGCCGAGACGGCGGGCGUGCUCAACGUCUCCUUCUCCGCCGCGCUCCCCGGCGGGCAGUACUUCCCCUCCGAGGCCCUGGAGGAGCAGCUCUACCUCAACAGACCCAGACUCAACACGCUGGUCCAGAUGGAGGUGCUACCGUUCGAUGACAACGUGUGUCUGCGGGAGCCGUGUCAGAACUACAUGAAGUGCAUCUCCGUCAUGCGCUUCAACAGCUCCGCCCCCUUCAUCACCUCCCCCUCCACGCUGUUCCGGCCCAUCCACCCAAUCACGGGCCUGCGCUGCCGCUGUCCGCCCGGCUUCACGGGCGACUACUGCGAGACGGAGAUCAACCUGUGCUACUCCAACCCAUGCCACAACGGAGGGGUGUGUGCCCGCAGGGAGGGGGGCUUCACCUGCAUCUGCAGAGAGGACUACACUGGUGAGCGCUGUGAAUGGGACAGACGUGCAGGGCAGUGCAUGGCAGGGGUGUGUCGUAACGGGGGCACGUGCCGGGAGCUGAGCGGCGGGGGCUUUCGCUGUGAGUGCCCAGCGGGGGGCUACGAGAGGCCCUACUGCUCCAUCACCACCCGCUCCUUCCCCCCAAAGUCCUUCAUCAUGUUCAGGGGCCUGCGCCAGAGGUUCCACCUCACCAUCUCCCUCUCGUUUGCCACUCUGGAGAGCAGUGGCCUGCUGUUCUACAACGGACGCUUUAAUGAGAAGCACGACUUCCUUGCCCUCGAGAUAAUUGAUGGACAGGUGGUGCUAAAAUACUCCACAGGUGAGUCAUCCACUCAGGUGAGCCCCUUCAUGCCAGGGGGAAUGAGCGACGGCAACUGGCACACUGUCCACAUCCACUACUAUAACAAGCCCAAGCGCGGCGUGAGUGGUGUGGUGGAGGGUCCGUCCGAUGAGAAGGUGGCGGUGGUGAGUGUGGAUGACUGUGACACGGCCGUGGCCCUCAGGUUUGGCUCCCAGCUGGGCAACUACAGCUGCGCCGCACAGGGCCGACAGAGCAGCUCCAAGAAGUCCCUGGACCUCACGGGGCCGCUGUUUCUGGGCGGGGUUCCUAACAUGGCAGACAGCUUCCCGUUUAGCACAAGAGAAUUUAUUGGCUGCAUGAAGGAUCUGCACAUCGAUAACAAGCUUCUGGAUCUGGCUGGCUACAUUGCCAAUAAUGGCACAUUGCCAGGCUGCAGUGCGAAGCUGCCCUUCUGCAAGUCAAACCCCUGCCAGAAUGGAGGCACCUGCAGUGUGAGUUGGGAGACCUUCUCCUGUGACUGCCCCCUAGGGUUCGGAGGCAAGGACUGCAGCCAUGUGAUGCCCCACCCUCAUCGUUUCCUGGGAAAAAGCGCCCUCUGGUGGGACCUGAAGAAUGACGUCACCAUCUCCACGCCCUGGUACCUAGGACUUGUGUUCCGCACACGCGCCAAAGAGGGGAUCCUGCUGCAGGCCCAGGCUGGACAGUACACCAGCCUCAUAUUCCAGGUGAUUGCCGGGCAGCUGGUGUUCUCGGUGUCUCACGGCUCCGCUCGCGGACCCCCGGUGCGUCUGCGUCUGGACCAGGUGCAGGUGUGUGACGGCCGCUGGCACGACCUGCAGAUGGAGCUGCGAGACGUGCGGAGUGGACGAGAGACGCGCUAUGUGGCCACUCUCCGCCUCGACUUUGGCCUCUACCAGGGAACGGUGAUAGUGGGCAAUGAGAUUCAUGGUCUAAAAGUGAAGCACCUGCAUGUGGGCGGAGUCUUGGGCUCCGGAGAGGUGCAGAGCGGCAUUCGAGGCUGCAUUCAGGGGGUGCGUUUGGGGGUGCGUCCUGACUCCCCACCUCUCCCUCGUCCAUCGCGCGCAGUGAAGGUGGAGGUAGGCUGCAGUGUGGGAAACGCCUGUGUCUCCUCCCCUUGCUCCGCCCACAGCAGAUGCGCUGACCAAUGGGAGAAACACACCUGCAUCUGUGAGCCAGGCUUCUAUGGUAAGAGCUGCACAGAUGCAUGCCAGCUGAACCCAUGUGAGAAUGCGGCUCAGUGCCACAGAAAGCCCAGCUCCUCCCAUGGCUACCUGUGUGACUGUGGAGACAACCACUACGGACAGUACUGCCAGCACAGGAUUGAGCAGCAGUGUCCACGGGGAUGGUGGGGGAGUCCUACCUGCGGUCCCUGCCACUGUGACACCAGCAAAGGCUUUGAUCCCGACUGCAACAAGACCAGCGGCCAAUGCCACUGCAAGGAGUUCCAUUUCCGUCGGCGGGGCAGUGACACCUGCUUGCCGUGUGACUGCUACCCAGUGGGCUCCUUCUCGCGGUCAUGUGACCUGGAGAGUGGCCAGUGCCAGUGUCGCUCGGGAGUGAUUGGUCGCCAGUGCAAUAUGUGUGACAACCCCUUCGCCGAGGUCACACAGACAGGCUGUGAAGUGAUCUAUGAUGGCUGUCCUAAGACCAUUACGCUGGGGAUCUGGUGGCCCAGGACUAAGUUUGGGAUGCCUGCUGUAGUGCCCUGUCCCCGAGGCUCAGUUGGUGCUGCUAUUCGUCAUUGUGAUGUGGAGAGGGGCUGGCUGGACCCAGAUCUGUACAACUGCACCUCUCCUUCCUUCGUGGAGCUCAGCACAGCUCUGGAGGCUGUGGAGCGGAAUGAGACUGAGCUCAACACCAUCAUAGAGAAGAAGCUGGCGCAUCAGCUGCGCGAUGUUAGCGAGGCCACUACCCGUUUCUAUGGCAAUGACCUGCAGAUUGCCGAGCGCCUGUUGUCCCGCCUCCUGACUUUUGAGACCCUCCAGACAGGCUUUGGCCUGACCGCCACUCAGGACGCACACUUCAAUGAGAAUGUUCUGCGAGGCUGCAGUGCUUUGAUUGGUCCAGGGAGUGCCGGGUUAUGGAGGGGGCCGGGCUUACAGACUCAUGGAGCUUCAGUAUUGGCUGACUUGCUGGACCAGUACACACGCACGCUCGCCAUGAACAUGAAGCAGACCUACCUCAACCCUGUGGCUUUGGUGGCCCCCAAUAUAGUGAUGACUCUGGAUCGUUUGGAGAAUCACACACAUGUGCGAAGGCGGUUUCCACGGUACCAUAAUACUAUGUUCCGUGGACAGCCUCUCUGGGACCCUCACACACACGUGGUGCUACCCCCAUCUGCCCUGGUACCUCGGGGACAGGCCAAUUACUCUCCUCCCCCGCCUCCUCCCGCCCCUGUGAGUACCGUGACCAAUCAAACCUCUGAGGUGUCCUCGGCACGACGCUCUAUUUCACUUCCUGAGCCGCCAAUCACCAUCGUCAUCCUGCUCAUCUACAGAAGUCUGGGAGCAGCCCUCCCUUCCAAAUACCACACGGACCGCAGAGGAGUCAGGCUGCCGCGCCACCCUGUGAUGAACUCUCCAGUGGUGAGUGUGAGUGUGUACAACAACCAGUCGUUUGUGGAGGGCUCUCUGGAAUCUCCCCUGUUCCUCGAGUUUCGCCUGCUGGAGACGGCUAACCGCAGCAAACCCCUCUGUGUGCAGUGGAACCAUAGCAGCUCCUCGUGUGGCGGAGGCUGUUGGCUAGUGAGGGACUGUAGUGUCGUCUAUAGGAACAUGUCUCACGUUCGCUGUCAGUGUCAAAGACUCGGGACAUUUGGAGUGCUGAUGGACAGCUCCCAACGAGAGCAGCUGGAGGGGGAUCUGGAGAUGCUUGCUGUGGUGACCUACACAUCCAUCUGCAUGUCCAUGGUGGCACUGCUGGUGACGGUUAUGGUGCUGUCCUGUUUGCGAGGCCUCAAGUCAAACACCCGCAGCAUCCAUGCCAACAUGGCUGCUGCUACACUGCUCUCACAACUCACCUAUCUGCUGGGCAUCAACCAGGCUGAGCAUCAGUUCUUGUGCACAGUAGUGGCCAUCCUGCUGCAUUACUUCUUCAUGGUGGUGUUUGCCUGGCUGUUUGUGGAGGCUCUGCACAUGUACCGCAUGCAGACAGAGGUCAGGAACAUCAACUAUGGGGCCAUGAGGUUCUACUACGCCAUUGGCUGGGGCGUGCCUGCCAUUAUCACAGGUCUAGCAGUAGGGCUUGAUCCCGAGGGCUAUGGGAACCCAGACUUCUGCUGGAUGUCCAUGUAUGACAAACUCAUCUGGAGCUUCGCCGGGCCCAUCGUCAUUGUCAUCCUGCUGAAUGGGGGCCUGUUUGUGAUGGUGGUGCGUAUAAUCUGUAAUCCCCCUCAGAAGGAGACCAAGAAGCUACCCAUCAUUGCCACUAUCCGCAGUGCCUUCCUAUUACUCCUCCUGUCUGCCUGUACGUGGUUGUUUGGUCUGAUGGCUGUGAACAACAGCAUCCUGGCCUUCCAUUACCUCUUCUGCAUCCUCUGCAGCACCCAGGGGUUGGCGGUGCUGUUGGUGUUCACUGCGCUGAACCCUGAAGUGCAGGAGGCGUGGCGUCUGGUGUGUUUGGGGAAGAAGGGCCCAAGUGAAGACCCGCCUCGGGCCCCACAGACAGCUGGUCAGACUCCAUUUAACGGCGCCUCCCUCCUGGAGCAGAGUGGACUGCACCGCAUCACACUGGGGACGUCAACUAUCUCCUCAGUCAGCAGUGCACGAGAGAAUCUUCUGGCACGGCAGACCCUUGAACACACUCUGGGACACACAGGUGCCACAGACCUGGAUGUGGCCAUGUUCCACAGAGAUGGAGGUGAAGACUCCGACUCAGAUUCAGAUCUCUCUCUGGAGGAAGAGCGCAGUCUGUCCAUCCCUUCCUCCGAGAGCGAGGACAACGUGCGUCUCCGUGGUCGCAUUCAGCGCCGUUUCAAGCGCUCCAACCACAGCGAGAGGCUGCUCACAGAACCCGCCCAGAAUGGCACCAAAGACCUGGAUGGGAAUGACCUGCUGUCCUAUUGGCCUGCUCUGGAGGAGUGCGAGGUCCACUCUCUGCAGAAGUGGGGCUCUGAGCGCCCCCUGGGGGCUGACUACAGCAAGGACGCUGCCAACAACAACCAGCCCGAUGCAGCUCUUACCAGCGGAGACGAGAGUGGACUCACACCUUCACAGAGACAUCGCAAGGGUAUUUUGAAGAACCGUAUGGGCUGCCCCCCGGCUUUGUCCUCUGUGGGUCAGGUUCCGAAUGAGCUGUCCUGGUACCGCACAUCUACACUGGGUCACCGCGGCGUGCCGGCUGCCUCGUACGGCCGCAUGUGCUCAGGCUCCCUGUCUCAGCCCGCCUCCCGCCACUCGUCCCGGGAGCACCUCGACUCGCUCGCCCGCCGACAGCGCUCCCGUGACAACCUGGACCUGCUGCCGCGGCGACGCGAGCUGGGCGGGUCCCGCGAGAGGCUGGGCCCCACUCACAGCGCACACACCUCACGCGAGGACCUGACCGGCCCGGGGAUGGAGGGCGGCCUGAGCGGCUCGCGCUCCCAGCUCGGCACGCUGACGCGGCGGCAGCUGUCUCGCGAGCACCUCGGGGGGGCGCUGAUGAGCAGCCGCUCGCGCGAGCAGCUGGAGACGUCUGGAGGGCCCAACGGUGCAGGGCCGUGCCGGGAAUGGCUCCGCACGCUGCCCCCUCGGCAGCCCUCGCACCCGGAGCAGCCCCCGCCCUCCUCGCCUCCCCCACCAAUCAGCGAGGAGCCACAGCUGCCGGAGCUCCACCCCACGCGCCCGGGGGCGACUUGACUCCGCCCCUCCAUGUAGGUACCCUCCUCCCUUGAGCUCGGGUUCCGCAUCGGCAGCCCCCUCCAGCAGACCCCCCUCCAGCGAGCACCUGGACAUUCUCUCCUCCAUCCUGGCCUCCUUCAGCUCCUCUGUCCUGGCCCCGCCCACAGCCAACCCCCAGGCAACUGGCCCCUCCCCCUCCCCACCCCACUCUGCCACCUCUCACAGCAUCUCUGAGGUCUCCCCCGACGCUGAAAUCAACAGAAGUGAGGGACAGUCUUGAUGACACCCUCCCCAUCCCACAAUGCAUUUCAGCACUGGGGGACACAGAAAAAGGAAGUGGCUCAAUGUUGUAGCCUACCUAGCACCCCUAAGGAUAUCAAAGGACUUUUGACUGAAUUCUGCAGCAGGAAGGAGGAGUCUCUGGAUGGGGAAUGGCAGGCUCUCAAAGGGGGUGUGCCUGAGCCAGAGCCAGAGCCAGGAAAAGAGAAUGAGAGAAAAGACGACAGUCACAUUUGAGUAGCAUAACACAGACUUCACACCCAAACGCCAGAGAGGAUCAGAAAAUAUGAAACUGUAAAUAACAUUUUUAUACAUUUUUGUAUCUUUUUCAUUGGAGAUGAUAGAAAAAAAAUCUCUUGUGAUGUUUUUUGCAGAUUUUUGUCCAGCAAGGUGGUGAGAGAGAUGUGAUUUCUCCUGUUUCAGAAAGCCAGACUCAACCUAAACCUGUCCUGAUCCAUACCUUUACAAGACAUCAUAUCAUGCAUAUCUCUAAACUGACACACAAACACAUACAUGCACACAAACAAAUCCACACACACAGGAAGGCUGGAUAUAUGACAAAGGGACAGGGAUUCACGUGAUUGAUGAGAAUUAUGACGUGGAGAUGUGAUUGGUGAGGAGACAGGAGGGAUGAUUUAUAUAAAGUGUUAUAGAGGGGAUGGGAUUGGACAGACCUGUGAUUGUAAAAUGAGAUUAUGAAGGAAACAGUGGCAGUCGUGGGAUGUAGAGGUAUUGAGGUUGACAUGGUCCUGAUCCAUGUGGAUAUUGGAAGGUAGAGGACAGGAAGAUGGUCUGAGUGCAGUUGUUUUCAGAGCAGGGAAGGCACUUUUACGUUUUAUACACUGUUCAGAUCAGACUGCCAGUCUGCCAAAUUAACCUGGAAUAGAAUGGAGGUAGAAGGAGGAGGAGGCACACGGAUACACACACCGACACAAACAUAGAGCUUCAUAUUCUGUCUCAUUUAAAGUAAAUGUCAUAUCCAUUCAUCUCUUUACGUGUCAUCCAUCUGGAUUAAUGUGAGUUUUGCCAAAAAGAAACCCUCUUCCCAACCUAUCCUUGCCCUUUUGGACUGUACCUCAUUUUUUUUACUGCCAACUGAUUUCUACCAUUUAUUUAUAGUACCUUUAUCUUGUACAGACAUGAGAUUAAUUUAUUUUAUUUAUUUAUUUAUUUA